rnacentral:misc_RNA from 1 species
GCAGGCUCAUAUAGACAGAAAUCUUUCUCGGAAGCUCACUCCUGAUGAGCUUCGUGAGAAGAAAGAAAAGAAACUCUUUGACGACCCAACUAUUGCGCCAGAGACAGUAGUUUCAGUAUACAGGAUCAAUGACCUUUCACACCCUCAAUAUUGCUUCAAGGUCGAUGUCAAUGCACGGGAGAAUCACAUGACCGGGUGUGCGGUUAUCUUGGGAGAUAUAAAUGUGGUGGUAGUUGAAGGUGGUAAAAAGUCUAUCAAGCGAUAUGGGAAACUAAUGCUUAGGCGAAUAGAUUGGGCUGCUGCUGUUAAGAAAGAAGACGAUGACGAAGAUGAAGAUAAGCCUCUCAACAAGUGUGUGUUAGUCUGGCAAGGGACUGUUGCUAAAUCGAGCUUUCGUAGGUUUUUGGUUCACGAGUGCAGGACUGAGGCUGCUGCUCGUAAGGUCUUUGCUGAUGCUGGGGUUCUUCAUUACUGGAAUUUAGCUGUAGACUUCAU